UCGGCUCUCCCUGAAGAGUUGAAUCCCCGACUCCUCCACAACCCUUUUUUUUUUUUUUUAACUGCGAAUGACUCAUAUAAUCAGUUAUCAUUUAUUUGGUGGUCUCCUUACCACUCRGAUAACCGUGGUAAUUCUAGAGCUAAUACGUGCAUCCCGACUUCUGGAAGGGAUGUAUUUAUUGGAUUAUAGGCCGAUCCGGGCUUGCCCGUUGUUGCGGCGAAUCAUGGUGACUUGUCGAAUCGCAUGGUCUUUGAGCCGACGAUGUUCCAUUCAAAUUUUUGCCCUAUCAACUUUCGAUGGCAGGAUAGAGGCCUACCAUGGUGGUAACGGGUAACGGAGAAUUAGGGUUCGAUUCUGGAGAGGGAGCCUGAGAGAUGGCUACCACAUCCAAGGAAGGCACCAGGCGUGUAAAUUACCCAAUCUUGACAUAGGGAGGUAGUGACAAUAAAUAACAAUACUGGGUUCUUUCGAGUCCGAUAAUUGGAAUGAGAACAGUCGUAAACUCCUUGAACGAGGAUCCAUUGGAGGGCAAGUCUAGUGCCAGCAGCCACGGUAAUUCCAGCUUCAAUAGCGUAUAUUUAAGUUGUUGCAGUUAAAAGACUCGUAGUUGGAUUUUGGGCGGGAGGGGUUGGUCCGCUCUUGCAAGCGUGUACCGACCCUUUCGCCUUUCUUGCUAGGUAUGCGUUCCUUGCCUUUAUUGGCUGGGAUCUAAAGUCGGCGCUGUUACUUUUAAAAAAUCAGAGUGUUCAAAGGAGGUAUGUUCCCUGAACAUAUUAGCAUGAAAUAACGCGAUAGGACUCUGGUCCUAUUUCGUUGGUCUUCGGGAUUGGAGUAAUGAUUAAUAGAGACGGUUGGGGGCAUUCGUAUUCCAUUGUCAGAGGUGAAAUUCUUGGAUUUAUGAAAGACGGACUUCUGCGAAAGCAUUUGCCAAGGACGUUCUCAUUAAUCAAGAAUGAAAGUUGGGGAAUCGAAGACGCUCAAAUAUUAUCAUAGCUUCAACCAUAAACCAUGCCAACUAGGGACUGACGAAUGUCUAUUGGAUGACUCUGCCAGCACCUUGUGAGAAAUCAAAGUUUACGGGUUCCGGGAGGAGUAUGGUCGCAACGUUGAAACUUAAAGGAAUUGACGGAAGGGCACCACCAAGCGUGAAGCCUGCGACUUAAUUUGACUCAAUACGGGGAAACUCACCAGGUCCAGACAUAACAAGGAUUGACAGAUUGAGAGCUAUUUCUUGAUUCUAUGGGUGGUGGUGCAUGGUUGUUGUCAGGACCUGUGGGUACCGAAUAACGUCCCAACACUCGAGAGCCUGUACAUAGCUAAGUUGUGCACGACAGAAAAGUCCAGAGAAAGGAGACAAGAGAGAGAAAAAAGUCAAAGGACUAGGACGGGACUGCAGGAAGGAAUAAUGCCCUGGGCUAAAUACCGCAGGGUGAAGGACCCGACAAUGGCAAGCAAGUAAGUAACAGGACAGGGGCGCAUAGGGGCAUAGCAUGGGGUCAUGAAGGCCAUUCGAAUACGGGAUGGCAAGAACCCGAGCGGCCACGAACUAAACACGCAAGACGCGGCAGAUGGCAACAAAAUAUUGAAGUCGGAAGGUGAACGACCCUGGUGG
rnacentral:rRNA from 1 species